rnacentral:rRNA from 1 species
GACGAACGCUGGCGGCGUGCUUAACACAUGCAAGUGGAGCGACGAACCGGGGCUUGCCCCGGGGCAGAGCCGCGAACGGGUGAGUAACACGUGGGUAACCCACCCCGAUGACCGGGACAACCCGAGGAAACUCGGGCUAAUACCGGAUGUGCUCCUUAACCUCGAGGUCAAGGCGUAAAGAUAGCUUCGGCUUCCGCAUUGGGAGGGGCCCGCGGCCCAUUAGCUUGUUGGUGGGGUCAAGGCCUACCAAGGCAACGAUGGGUAGCUGGUCUGAGAGGACGAUCAGCCACACUGGGACUGAGACACGGCCCAGACUCCUACGGGAGGCAGCAGUGGGGAAUCUUGCGCAAUGCGCGAAAGCGUGACGCAGCAACACCGCGUGAGGGAAGACGGCCUUAGGGUUGUAAACCUCUUUCAGAUGGGACGAAGGUUGUCCGGUGAAUAGCCGAGAUGAUUGACGGUACCGUCAGAAGAAGCUCCGGCUAACUACGUGCCAGCCGCCGCCGUAA